UGAUGCAUGACACACACUACAGUGUUUAUAUUUCAUAGCAGAAUAGUAGCAAAUAUGGCUAAAUUAACUGUCGGUCCAAAUGUGGAGAAUGCUGAGCGCCAAGCAGAGAAGUUUGGUUUAACUCAACAGAUAUAUUAAACUUCUCCAAAUCAACAAAACAGUUUCUUGGAGUCUAUCUCAGGAUGAAGCCACAAAAAGGAAUCAAAGGAAAUAUAACCUCCAAUUCUCAAAAAUAAAAAAUCAUUGAUGGGAACAUUCCUCAUACCAGACGCUGCUUUAGAGGUGUUUGCUUUUUUAAUGCUGGAAAACUUGCGCACAUUAAGUGUCCCAUCAAUGUUUAUUAAAUGUGUAUUU